rnacentral:misc_RNA from 1 species
GUAUUCAUCAUCUCCAAAAUCAGCUAUGGCCUUUGCUCUCUUGUCCCAAGGGUUCCACACAACUGCAUCUGGCAACCCAUCCUUUCGAAUAACAAAUGUCCGUUUCUUUUCAUGAUCCAGGAUCGCAAUUUUUGUGGGGGUACUGAGAUAUAUUUUGUCCACUUCAGACUCAAAAGUAAUUGCAUCGCCUUGCUCAGUGAAUCUCUCCUUAUUCUCAAGAUAAUCAAGUGUCUCAAGGCCCUCCACGCGGACUUCACUGAUGUCUGAAACAGAG